rnacentral:rRNA from 1 species
UGGGGAAUAUUGCGCAAUGGGCGAAAGCCUGACGCAGCGACGCCGCGUGAGGGAUGAAGGUCUUCGGAUUGUAAACCUCUUUCAGCAGGGACGAAGCGAAAGUGACGGUACCUGAAGAAGAAGCACCGGCUAACUACGUGCCAGCAGCCGCGGUAAUACGUAGGGUGCAAGCGUUGUCCGGAUUUAUUGGGCGUAAAGAGCUCGUAGGCGGUUAGACACGUCGGAUGGGAAAACUGGGGGCUCAACCCC